rnacentral:rRNA from 1 species
GAUGAACGCUGGCGGCGUGCUUAACACAUGCAAGUCGAACGGGAUCCCAGGAGCUUGCUCCUGGGUGAGAGUGGCGAACGGGUGAGUAAUGCGUGACCGACCUGCCCCAUACACCGGAAUAGCUCCUGGAAACGGGUGGUAAUGCCGGAUGCUCCAGUUGGAUGCAUGUCCUUCUGGGAAAGAUUCAUCGGUAUGGGAUGGGGUCGCGUCCUAUCAGCUUGAUGGCGGGGUAACGGCCCACCAUGGCUUCGACGGGUAGCCGGCCUGAGAGGGCGACCGGCCACAUUGGGACUGAGAUACGGCCCAGACUCCUACGGGAGGCAGCAGUGGGGAAUAUUGCACAAUGGGCGCAAGCCUGGUGCAGCGACGCCGCGUGCGGGAUGACGGCCUUCGGGUUGUAAACCGCUUUUGACUGGGAGCAAGCCCUUCGGGGUGAGUGUACCUUUCGAAUAAGCACCGGCUA